rnacentral:rRNA from 1 species
UACGUAGGGCGCAAGCGUUGUCCGGAAUUAUUGGGCGUAAAGAGCUCGUAGGCGGCUUGUCACGUCGAUUGUGAAAGCCCGAGGCUUAACCUCGGGCCUGCAGUGGGUACGGGCAGACUGGAGUGCGGUAGGGGAGAAUGGAAUUCCUGGUGUAGCGGUGGAAUGCGCAGAUAUCAGGAGGAACACCGAUGGCGAAGGCAGGUCUCUGGGCCGAUACUGACGCUGAGGAGCGAAAGCGUGGGGAGCGAACAGG